rnacentral:tRNA from 1 species
AGCAGUGUGGCUCAGUGGAAAGAGUCUGGGCUUGGGAGUCAGAGGUCAUGGGUUCUAAUCCCAACUCCGCCG